AUGAACGUUGAAAGAUGUGCUUUUCUAUGUUUUUCAUUAAAUCAAAACUCUCAGUGUUUGGUGAUUGAGUGUGUAAAUAUAUUCACAUUAAGGAGAAUGUUUAAAAUGGUCAUUAAGCACUCACAUGCUCACACACAUACACAUACACACACUCUCUCUCUCUCUCGCACGCACGCACGCACUCACUCACAAAUACGCACUCACUCACACACGCAUGCACACACACACAGACACUCUCACACACACACACACGCACUCACUCACACACACACACACACUCACUCACACACGCAUGCACACACACACAGACACUCUCACACACACGCACUCACUCACACACAUACAUACGCAUGCACACUCUCACACACACUCACUCACAUGCUCACACAAGCAUGCACACACGCUCACUCACACACACACACACGCACUCACUCACACACAUACAUACGCAUGCACACUCUCACACACACUCACUCACAUGCUCACACAAGCAUGCACACACGCUCACUCACACACAUACGCAUGCACACUCACACACGCUCACUCUCACUCACAUGCUCACAUACGCAUGCACACUCACACUCACUCACAUGCUCACACACACACUCACUCACAUACUCACACACACACACACUCACUCACAUGCACACUCACGCGCACACUCACACAGUCACUCACGCGCGCGCACUCACACACAUGCUCACUCACACGCACACACACGCUCGCUCACUCACACGCACUCACUCACACACACACACUCACAUGCUCACACACACUCACACACACACACACACUCACUCACAUGCUCACACAUACGCAUGCACAAUCUCACACGCUCACACACACACGCGCACACACACACAGUCACUCACAUGCUCACUCACACACACACACAGUCACUCACAUGCUCACUCACACACACACUCACAUGCUCACGCAUGCACACUCUCACUCACGCGCACACUCACACAGUCACUCACACGCACACACACGCUCACUCACACACUCACAUGCUCACUCACACGCACACACGCUCACUCACACUCACUCACACACACACACUCACACGCUCACUCACACACGCGCACACUCACACACAUUCACUCACAUGCUCACUCACACACACACACACACAGUCACUCACAUGCUCACUCACACACACACACUCACAUGCUCACACACAUACGCAUGCACACUCUCACUCACACGCAUACACACACAUACGCAUGCACACGCUCACUCACACGCACACACUCACAUGCUCACACACAUACGCAUACACACUCUCACACACGCUCACUCACGCACACACUCACAUGCUCACACACAUACGCAUACACACUCUCACACACGCUCACUCACGCACACACUCACAUGCUCACUCACACGCACACACACGCUCGCUCACUCACACGCACACACUCACACACACUCACUCACAUGCUCACACAUGCAUGCACACACGCUCACUCACACGCACACACUCACAUGCUCACACACAUACGCAUACACACUCUCACACACGCUCACUCAUGCACACACUCACAUGCUCACUCACACACACACACACACACACUCUCACACACUCACAUGCUCACACACACAUACGCAUGCACACUCACACGCUCGCUCACUCACUCACUCUCACACGCUCACUCACACACACACUCACUCUCACACGCUCACUUACACGCACACACACUCACAUGCUCACACACACAUACACACGCACACACACACGCUCACUCACACACACACUCACUCACACGCUCACACACACACUCACUCACACGCUCACACACACACUCACUCACACGCUCACACACACACUCACUCACACGCUCACACACACACUCACUCACACGCUCACACACACACUCACUCACACGCUCACACACACACUCACUCACACGCUCACACACACACUCACUCACACGCUCACACACACACUCACUCACAUGCUCACACAUGCAUGCACACUCACGCGCACACUCACACAGUCACUCACGCGCACGCACUCACACACACACUCACACUCACACACAUGCUCACUCACACGCACACACACGCUCGCUCACUCACACGCACUCACUCACACACACACACUCACAUGCUCACUCACACGCACUCACUCACACACACACACACUCACAUGCUCACACAUACGCAUGCACAAUCUCACAUGCUCACUCGCGCACACACACGCUCACUCACUCACACACACACACACACACUCUCACUCACAUGCUCACACACAUACGCAUGCACAAUCUCACACGCUCACUCACACACGCGCACACUCACACACACGCACUCACAUGCUCACUCACACACACACUCACAUGCUCACACAUACGCAUGCACAAUCUCACACGCUCACUCACACACGCGCACACUCACACACACUCACUCACAUGCUCGCUCACACACACACACACACACUCUCACUCACAUGCUCACACACAUACGCAUGCACAAUCUCACACGCUCACUCACACACGCGCACACUCACACACAGUCACUCACAUGCUCGCUCACUCACACACACACACAGUCACUCACAUGCUCACUCACACACACACUCACAUGCUCACGCAUGCACACUCUCACUCACGCGCACACUCACACAGUCACUCACGCGCACACUCACAUGCUCACUCACACGCACACACACGCUCACACACACGCUCACUCACACACACUCACAUGCUCACUCACACACACGCUCACUCACACUCACUCACACACACACACUCACAUGCUCACACACAUACGCAUGCACAAUCUCACUCACACGCUUACACACACAUACGCAUGCACACGCUCACUCACACGCACACACACAUACGCAUGCACAAUCUCACUCGCACGCUUACACACACAUACGCAUGCACACGCUCACUCACGCACACACACUCACUCUCACUCACAUACUCUCACUCACACGCACACACACUCACUCUCUCACACACACUCACUCACACACACACUCUCACACACUCACUCACUCACUCUCACACACACUCACUCUCUCACACACACUCUCACUCACACACACACUCACUCACAUGCUCACUCACUCACACACACACACACACUCACUCACUCACAUGCUCACACAUGCAUGCACACACGCUCACUCACACGCACACUCACAUGCUCACACACAUACGCAUACACACUCACACACGCUCACUCAUGCACACACUCACAUGCUCACUCACACACACAUGCUCACACACACAUACGCAUGCACACUCACACACGCUCGCUCACUCACACACACACACUCACUCUCACACGCUCACUCACACACACAUACGCAUGCACACUCACACACGCUCACUCACUCACUCACUCUCACACGCUCACUCACACACACAUACGCAUGCACACUCACACACGCUCACUCACUCACACACACACUCACUCUCACACGCUCACACACACUCACUCUCACACGCACACACACUCACAUGCUCACACAGACACACACACACAAGUGCAUUCAAAAGUCUGAGACCACAGUGA
rnacentral:lncRNA from 1 species